UGGGGAAUAUUGCACAAUGGGCGCAAGCCUGAUGCAGCCAUGCCGCGUGUAUGAAGAAGGCCUUCGGGUUGUAAAGUACUUUCAGUCGGGAGGAAGGUGGUAAGGUUAAUAACCUUAUCAAUUGACGUUACCGACAGAAGAAGCACCGGCUAACUCCGUGCCAGCAGCCGCGGUAAUACGGAGGGUGCAAGCGCUAAUCGGAAUUACUGGGCGUAAAGCGCACGCAGGCGGUUGAUUGAGUCAGAUGUGAAAUCCCCGGGCUUAACCCGGGAAUUGCAUCUGAUACUGGUCAGCUAGAGUCUUGUAGAGGGGGGUAGAAUUCCAUGUGUAGCGGUGAAAUGCGUAGAAAUGUGGAGGAAUACCGGUGGCGAAGGCGGCCCCCUGGACAAAGACUGACGCUCAGGUGCGAAAGCGUGGGGAGCAAACAGG
rnacentral:rRNA from 1 species